UUGCUGUUUCGCUGACGAGUGGCGGACGGGUGAGUAAUGUCUGGGAAACUGCCUGAUGGAGGGGGAUAACUACUGGAAACGGUAGCUAAUACCGCAUAACGUCGCAAGACCAAAGAGGGGGACCUUCGGGCCUCUUGCCAUCGGAUGUGCCCAGAUGGGAUUAGCUAGUAGGUGGGGUAACGGCUCACCUAGGCGACGAUCCCUAGCUGGUCUGAGAGGAUGACCAGCCACACUGGAACUGAGACACGGUCCAGACUCCUACGGGAGGCAGCAGUGGGGAAUAUUGCACAAUGGGCGCAAGCCUGAUGCAGCCAUGCCGCGUGUAUGAAGAAGGCCUUCGGGUUGUAAAGUACUUUCAGCGGGGAGGAAGGGAGUAAAGUUAAUACCUUUGCUCAUUGACGUUACCCGCAGAAGAAGCACCGGCUAACUCCGUGCCAGCAGCCGCGGUAAUACGGAGGGUGCAAGCGUUAAUCGGAAUUACUGGGCGUAAAGCGCACGCAGGCGGUUUGUUAAGUCAGAUGUGAAAUCCCCGGGCUCAACCUGGGAACUGCAUCUGAUACUGGCAAGCUUGAGUCUCGUAGAGGGGGGUAGAAUUCCAGGUGUAGCGGUGAAAUGCGUAGAGAUCUGGAGGAAUACCGGUGGCGAAGGCGGCCCCCUGGACGAAGACUGACGCUCAGGUGCGAAAGCGUGGGGAGCAAACAGGAUU
rnacentral:rRNA from 1 species